GACGAACGCUGGCGGCGUGCUUAACACAUGCAAGUCGAACGAGAGCGUAGAGAAAGCUUGCUUUUUCUACAAUCUAGUGGCAAACGGGUGAGUAACGCGUAAACAACCUGCCCUACGGAUGGGGACAACAGCUGGAAACGGCUGCUAAUACCGAAUACGUUCCGAAAGUCGCAUGACUAUCGGAAGAAAGGAUGGCCUCUAUUUAUAAGCUAUCGCCGGAGGAGGGGUUUGCGUCUGAUUAGCUAGUUGGAGGGGUAACGGCCCACCAAGGCGACGAUCAGUAGGCGGUCUGAGAGGAUGAACGGCCACAUUGGAACUGAGACACGGUCCAGACUCCUACGGGAGGCAGCAGUGGGGAAUCUUCCGAAAUGGGCGAAAGCCUGACGGAGCAACGCCGCGUGAGUGAAGACGGCCUUCGGGUUGUAAAGCUCUGUUAUACGGGACGAAUAAUCUUGUGGUUAAUACCCAUGAGAAGUGACGGUACCGUAAGAGAAAGCCACGGCUAACUACGUG
rnacentral:rRNA from 1 species